GACGAACGCUGGCGGCGUGCCUAAUACAUGCAAGUUGAGCGCUGAAGGUUGGUACUUGUACCAACUGGAUGAGCAGCGAACGGGUGAGUAACGCGUGGGGAAUCUGCCUUUGAGCGGGGGACCACAUUUGGAAACGAAUGCUAAUACCGCAUAAAAACUUUAAACACAAGUUUUAAGUUUGAAAGAUGCAAUUGCAUCACUCAAAGAUGAUCCCGCGUUGUAUUAGCUAGUUGGUGAGGUAAAGGCUCACCAAGGCGAUGAUACAUAGCCGACCUGAUAGGGUGAUCGGCCGCAUUGGGACGGAGACACGGCCCAAACGCCUACGGGAGGCAGCAGGAGGGAAUCUGCGGCAAUGGACGAAAGUCUGACCGAGCAACGCCGCGGGAGUGAAGAAGGUUGUCGGAUCGUAAAACUCGGUUGGUAGAGAAGAACGUUGGUGAGAGUGGAAAGCUCAUCAAGUGACGGUAACUACCCAGAAAGGGACGGCUAACUACGUG
rnacentral:rRNA from 1 species